CCAGCCAGAGUGGCAUGUUUCUAGAGCUCUAGUUUCACCAAACUUGGCAACAAUGGGUUGCCACAUGGUUCAACCAGCCAGUCCAUAAAAUCCACAAAUGCAGGUCUCAACAGCAACAAUGUACUGAAUUACACACUGAAUCUGCAUUUGCAUCUGUCCACCCAGUAAUAAAAUGCCCACAUCAGAUGUCAAUCAAAGUAUAGGCUGGCAGGGGAUUCAGCCUAGAAGAGUUAAAGGUAGCUAGUAUCCAUGAGAAAAUUGCAUGGAUCACUGCAGCAUUGUGUAAGUCUACAAAGUCCCCACAGGCCCACACAUGGGGGCUGAAAAAGCACAGCUCCCAGCAACCAAAGGGAGAGGUGCCCAAGAGGAGAAGCAUUUCUGCUGAGGAACCGACAAGGAGGAAGAAGCCAGGGUCAUUAUAGAGAAAGAAAACGUUAAGGCAUUUACCAGUGCUUGUGACCCAAACCAGUGCAUGGCUCCAAGUAUCCAAAUUAAAAAAGCCAAGGAAGCCAACAAUAGAAAGUGGAAAGAAGGGGGAA
rnacentral:lncRNA from 10 species